AACGAACGCUGGCGGCAUGCCUAACACAUGCAAGUCGAACGAGACCUUCGGGUCUAGUGGCGCACGGGUGCGUAACGCGGGGGAACCUGCCUUUAGGUUCGGAAUACCUCAGUGAAAUUUGAGCUAAUACCGGAUGAUGUCUUCGGACCAAAGAUUUAUCGCCUUUAGAUGGGCCCGCGUUGGAAUCGCUAGUUGGUGGUGUAAAGGCCUACCAAGGCGGGGUUCCAUGGCUGGUUGGAGAGGAUGAGCAGCCACACUGGGGCUAAGACACGGACCAGACUCGGACGCAAGGGAGGAGAGUAUGAUACUGUGCAAGGGAGGAUGACGUGAUCCAGCAAUGCGGGGGAAGAGAUGAAGGCGGUAGUGAAGCGAAGCUCUUUGAGCCGAGGCGAUAGUGACGGUAACGGGAGAAUAAGCACCGGCUAACUCCGUG
rnacentral:rRNA from 1 species